rnacentral:tRNA from 1 species
CAAUUGGGAGAGAUGGCUGAGGACUAAAGCGGCGGAUUGCUAAUCCGUUGUACGAGUUAAUCGUACUGAGGGUUCGAAUCCCUUUCCGUUGA